rnacentral:rRNA from 1 species
CAGCCGCCGCGGGAAUACGGAGGGUGCAAGCGUUAAUCGGAAUUACUGGGCGUAAAGCGCACGCAGGCGGUUUGUUAAGUCAGAUGUGAAAUCCCCGAGCUUAACUUGGGAUCUGCAUUUGAAACUGGCAAGCUAGAGUCUUGUAGAGGUGGGUAGAAUUCCAGGUGUAGCGGCGAAAUGCGUAGAGAUCUGGAGGAAUACCGGUGGCGAAGGCGGCCCCCUGGACAAAGACUGACGCUCAGGUGCGAAAGCGUGGGGAGCAAACAGGAUUAGAUACCCGCGUAGUCCCUGUCUCUUAUAU